rnacentral:rRNA from 1 species
UACGAAGGGGGCUAGCGUUGCUCGGAAUCACUGGGCGUAAAGGGUGCGUAGGCGGGUCUUUUAAGUCAGGGGUGAAAUCCUGGAGCUCAACUCCAGAACUGCCUUUGAUACUGAGGAUCUUUGAGUUAAAGAGAGGUUGAUGGAAUUUCAGGUGUAGCGGUGAAAUGCGUAGAUAUCUGAAAGAACACCAGUGGCGAAGGCGGUCAACUGGCUUUUAACUGACGCUCAGGCACGAAAGCGUGGGUAGCGAACAGG